GAUGAAGAACGGAGCGAAAUGCGAUAAGUAAUGUGAAUUGCAGAAUUCAGUGAAUCAUCGAAUCUUUGAACGCACAUUGCGCCCGUCAGUAUUCUGGCGGGCAUGCCUGUUCGAGCGUCAUUACGCCCCUCAAGUCCCCUGUGGACUUGGUGUUGGGGAUCGGCGAGGCUGGUUUUCCAGCACAGCCGUCCCUUAAAUUAAUUGGCGGUCUCGCCGUGGCCCUCCUCUGCGCAGUAGUAAAACACUCGCAACAGGAGCCCGGCGCGGUCCACUGCCGUAAAACCCCCCAACUUUUUAUAGUUGACCUCGAAUCAGGUAGGACUAACCGCAGAACUUAAGCAUAUCAAUAAGCGGAGGA
rnacentral:misc_RNA from 1 species